GACGAACGCUGGCGGCGUGCCUAAUACAUGCAAGUCGAGCGGACUUUCAAGAAGCUUGCUUUUUGAAAGUUAGCGGCGGACGGGUGAGUAACACGUGGGCAACCUGCCUGCAAGACGGGGAUAACUCCGGGAAACCGGGGCUAAUACCGGAUAACAUCUUCCUUCGCAUGAAGGAAGGUUGAAAGGCGGCGCAAGCUGCCGCUUGCAGAUGGGCCCGCGGCGCAUUAGCUAGUUGGUGAGGUAACGGCUCACCAAGGCGACGAUGCGUAGCCGACCUGAGGGGGUGAUCGGCCACACUGGGACUGAGACACGGCCCAGACUCCUACGGGAGGCAGCAGUAGGGAAUCUUCCGCAAUGGACGAAAGUCUGACGGAGCAACGCCGCGUGAGCGAAGAGGGUCUUCGGAUCGUAAAGCUCUGUUGUCGGGGAAGAACAAGUACCGUUCGAACAGGGCGGUACCUUGACGGUACCUGACCAGAAAGCCACGGCUAACUACGUGCCAGCAGCCGCAGUAAGAC
rnacentral:rRNA from 1 species